AGAGUUUGAUCCUGGCUCAGAUUGAACGCUGGCGGAACGCUUUACACAUGCAAGUCGAACGGUAACGUGGGGAGGAGCUUGCUCCACCCCGACGACGAGUGGCGAACGGGUGAGUAAUACAUCGGAACGUGUCCGCUCGUGGGGGACAACCAGCCGAAAGGUUGGCUAAUACCGCAUGAGUUCUACGGAAGAAAGAGGGGGACCCGCAAGGGCCUCUCGCGAGCGGAGCGGCCGAUGACUGAUUAGCCGGUUGGUGAGGUAACGGCUCACCAAAGCAACGAUCAGUAGCUGGUCUGAGAGGACGACCAGCCACACUGGGACUGAGACACGGCCCAGACUCCUACGGGAGGCAGCAGUGGGGAAUUUUGGACAAUGGGCGCAAGCCUGAUCCAGCUAUUCCGCGUGUGGGAUGAAGGCCCUCGGGUUGUAAACCACUUUUGUAGAGAACGAAAAGACAUCUUCGAAUAAAGGAUGUUGCUGACGGUACUCUAAGAAUAAGCACCGGCUAACUACGUGCCAGCAGCCGCGGUAAUACGUAGGGUGCGAGCGUUAAUCGGAAUUACUGGGCGUAAAGGGUGCGCAGGCGGUUGAGUAAGACAGAUGUGAAAUCCCCGAGCUUAACUCGGGAAUGGCAUAUGUGACUGCUCGACUAGAGUGUGUCAGAGGGAGGUGGAAUUCCACGUGUAGCAGUGAAAUGCGUAGAUAUGUGGAAGAACACCGAUGGCGAAGGCAGCCUCCUGGGACAUAACUGACGCUCAGGCACGAAAGCGUGGGGAGCAAACAGGAUUAGAUACCCUGGUAGUCCACGCCCUAAACGAUGUUAACUAGUUGUUGGGAUGUAACAAUCUCAGUAACGCAGCCAACGCGAGAAGUUAACCGCCUGGGAAGUACGGUCGCAAGACUAAAACUCAAAGGAAUUGACGGGGACCCGCACAAGCGGUGGAUGAUGUGGAUUAAUUCGAUGCAACGCGAAAAACCUUACCUACCCUUGACAUGUCAGGAAGCUCUUGU
rnacentral:rRNA from 1 species